rnacentral:rRNA from 1 species
AGUGAACGCUGGCGGUAGGCCUAACGCAUGCAAGUCGAACGGCAGCACAGUAAGAGCUUGCUCUUACGGGUGGCGAGUGGCGGACGGGUGAGGAAUACAUCGGAAUCUACUUUUUCGUGGGGGAUAACGUAGGGAAACUUACGCUAAUACCGCAUACGACCUACGGGUGAAAGCAGGGGAUCUUCGGACCUUGCGCGAUUGAAUGAGCCGAUGUCGGAUUAGCUAGUUGGCGGGGUAAAGGCCCACCAAGGCGACGAUCCGUAGCUGGUCUGAGAGGAUGAUCAGCCACACUGGAACUGAGACACGGUCCAGACUCCUACGGGAGGCAGCAGUGGGGAAUAUUGGACAAUGGGCGCAAGCCUGAUCCAGCCAUACCGCGUGGGUGAAGAAGGCCUUCGGGUUGUAAAGCCCUUUUGUUGGGAAAGAAAAGCAGCAGGUUAAUACCCCGCUGCUCUGACGGUACCCAAAGAAUAAGCACCGGCUAACUUCGUG